rnacentral:tRNA from 1 species
GCAUUGACAAAGCUAAUAGCGAUAGAUUGUAAAUCUAUAGAAGGUUUUAAAAUUUUAGUCUGCAAAUCUAAA